GCCCGCCUCUCUCCCGGCGGCCGGGUUGGACCACCCCAUGAGAAUCUUAGGGUUGGGCCACCUCGUGAGAAUCUUAGGCGGCGGGGGCUCGGCCCUCCGGUCGAGCAACCCGGCACAAGGGCAGGGCAGCCUGGGACCCCCCCACUCUGCCCCAUCCUGCUGCUGGGGACCUGCGGGAGCUGCCUUACCGUUUCACUGAGGAACGUGAGCCACCACUGACUUGGAUAACGGCAGCCCCACCUUCUCUAUGAAGCAGGUUGAGUGGAGGCGAGGCCCACGCUGAACCAGUGCAGGAAGGAUUGCAGUGAAAAACCCCUCACCCAGAUGCUCCAGCCUCAAUCCCCCUGGGUGCCGGAGCCAGAGACUCAUAGGGGCUGGGCGACCCUUGGCACCCUACCAUUUCUCUCUCCACCACCCCCAGAGGGACCCUGCUCAGACCCACUCCUCACCAGAUCGCUUCUGUGCUGGUGCCUGAGGCCCCUGGCAGUGUGAGGGCUGCCCCCCUGCCAAGCCACUCAGCUGCUGCUCAGAACAGCUGUACGACGGCUGCUUCCUGAAGGAGUGCUUCUCUCUGACUCAGGGUCACCAGCCCCUGCCGUGGACGCCUCAUGCCUCCUUCUGAGGCAGGUGGCUCGUUCAAGGCCCAGUUCCAGAGGCUACCUCCCUGUAAGCCCUUGA